UACGUAGGGACCAAGCGUUGUUCGGAUUUACUGGGCGUAAAGGGCGCGUAGGCGGCGUGACAAGUCACUUGUGAAAUCUCUGGGCUUAACCCAGAACGGCCAAGUGAAACUGUUGUGCUAGAGUGCAGAAGGGGCAAUCGGAAUUCUCGGUGUAGCGGUGAAAUGCGCAGAUAUCAGGAGGAACACCGGUGGCGAAGGCGGGUCUCUGGGCAGUAACUGACGCUGAGGAGCGAAGGCCAGGGGAGCAAACGGG
rnacentral:rRNA from 1 species